rnacentral:rRNA from 1 species
CCUACGGGAGGCAGCAGUUAGGAAUCUUGCGCAAUGGGCGAAAGCCUGACGCAGCGACGCCGCGUGCGGGAUGACGGCCUUCGGGUUGUAAACCGCUUUCAGCAGGGACGAUUAUGACGGUACCUGCAGAAGAAGCCCCGGCCAACUACGUGCCAGCAGCCGCGGUAAUACGUAGGGGGCAAGCGUUGUCCGGAUUUAUUGGGCGUAAAGAGCUCGUAGGCGGUUUGGUAAGUCGGGUGUGAAAUCUCCACGCUCAACGUGGAGGGGCCACUCGAUACUGCCAUGACUCGAGUCCGGUAGAGGAGUGUGGAAUUCCCGGUGUAGCGGUGAAAUGCGCAGAUAUCGGGAGGAACACCCGUAGCGAAGGCGGCACUCUGGGCCGGAACUGACGCUGAGGAGCGAAAGCGUGGGGAGCGAAACAGGAUUAGAUACCCUGGUAGUCCACGCCGUAAACGUUGGGACACUAGGUGUGGGGAUCUAUCGACGGUUUCCGUGCCGAAGCUAACGCAUUAAGUGCCCCGCCUGGGGAGUACGGCCGCAAGGCUAAAACGUCAAAGGAAUUGACGG